CAGCUGGCAAAACACCGGACCGACGUCACCAUCUUUUACCAAGGGGUCCACCAGAAGAUCCAGAGUCUGGUGGACCUGGUGCAGUCGUUGGAUGUGGGGCAACUGAAGGGCCUAGAAGGGGCAAAACUCUUCAUGGAGAAAACAGCUCAGGUCAGCAUCAGCCCAGCCAAGGAGAUCCAGCAGGAUGAGAACCCCCCUGCCAAAGUUCCUGGAAUCUUGCAAACAAUGGGCUACUCCGGUGCUGAGUGGCAGGAGGCAACAGAGCUGAUGAAAGUCCUGGGAAUGCUGCUGCGCAAACUCCAUGGUGGGAAAACUGUGAAACAAGAAACUGCGCCAGGACGUGAUGGGGCUG